CACUCUAAUUUUUGACUGCCGGUGACAAACCGGAGGAAGGUGGGGAUGACGUCAAAUCAUCAUGCCCCUUAUGACCUGGGCUACACACGUGCUACAAUGGAUGGUACAGAGGGCUGCGAGGCGAGACCGCGAGGUGUUUAGCCAAUCCCUUAAAACCAUUCUCAGUUCGGAUUGCAGGCUGCAACUCGCCUGCAUGAAGCCGGAAUCGCUAGUAAUCGCGGAUCAGCAUGCCGCGGUGAAUACGUUCCCGGGCCUUGUACACACCGCCCGUCACACCACGAGAGUUUGUAACACCCGAAGUCGGUGAGGUAACCUUUUGGAGCCAGCCGCCGAAGGUGGGACAGAUGAUUGGGGUGAAGUCGUAACAAGGUAGCCGUAUCGGAAGGUGCGGCUGGAUCACCUCCUUU
rnacentral:ncRNA from 1 species